rnacentral:rRNA from 1 species
AGUGAACGCUGGCGGUAGGCCUAACACAUGCAAGUCGAACGAGUGGCGGACGGGUGAGGAAUACAUCGGAAUCUACUCUGUCGUGGGGGAUAACGUAGGGAAAAUGACGCUAAUACCGAAUACGCUUGAAUUAGCCGAUGUCGGAUUAGCUAGUUGGCGGGGUAAAGGCCCACCAAGGCGACGAUCCGUAGCUGGGCUGAGAGGAUGAUCAGCAACACUGGAACGGGGACACGGUCCAGACUCCAACGGGAGGCAGCAUUGGGGAAUAUUGGACAAUGGGCGAAAGCCUGAUCCAGCCAUACCGCGUGGGUGAAGAAGGCCUUCGGGUUGUAAAGCCCUUUUGUCGGGAAAGCGGUACCCAAAGAAUAAGCCCCGGCUAACUUCGUGCCAGCAGCCGCGGUAAUUC